rnacentral:rRNA from 1 species
AACGAACGCUGGCGGCAGGCUUAACACAUGCAAGUCGAGCGCCCCGCAAGGGGAGCGGCAGACGGGUGAGUAACGCGUGGGAAUCUACCCAUCUCUACGGAAUAACGCAUGGAAACGUGUGCUAAUACCGUAUACGUCCUUCGGGAGAAAGAUUUAUCGGAGAUGGAGGGGCCCGCGUUGGAUUAGCUAGUUGGUGGGGUAAAGGCCUACCAAGGCGACGAUCCAUAGCUGGUCUGAGAGGAUGAUCAGCACACUGGGACUGAGACACGGCCCAGAGUCCUACGGGAGGCAGCAGUGGGGAAUAUUGGACAAUGGGCGCAAGCCUGAUCCAGCCAUGCCGCGGGAGUGAUGAAGGCCCUAGGGUUGUAAAGCUCUUUCACCGGUGAAGAUAAUGACGGUAACCGGAGAAGAAGCCCCGGCUAACUUCGUGCCAGCCGCCGCCGCCGUAA